GCAUUGGUGGUUGAGUGGUAGAAUUCUUGCUUUCUAUGUGAGAAACCCAGGCUCAAUUUCUGGUCAGUGCA
rnacentral:tRNA from 1 species